rnacentral:rRNA from 1 species
CAAGUUGAACGCGAAAGUGGAGCAAUCCAUGAGUAGAGUGGCAAACGGGCUGAGUAACGCGUGGGCGACCUACCUCUGAGUGGGGGAUAACCUUCCGAAAGGAGGGCUAAUACCGCAUGACAUCCCGUGUUUGGAUACACGGACAUCAAAGCCGGGGAUCGCAAGACCUGGCGCUCGGAGAGGGGCCCGCGUCCGAUUAGCUAGUUGGUGAGGUAACGGCUCACCAAGGCUCCGAUCGGUAUCCGGCCUGAGAGGGCGGACGGACACACUGGAACUGAGACACGGUCCAGACUCCUACGGGAGGCAGCAGUGGGGAAUUGUUCGCAAUGGGCGCAAGCCUGACGACGCAACGCCGCGUGGAGGAUGAAGACUUUCGGGUCGUAAACUCCUUUCGACCGAGAUGAAUUCCCGCCGGCCUAACACGUCGGCGGGGUGACAGUAUCGAGGGAAGAAACCCCGGCUAACUCCGUGCCAGCAGCCGCGGUAAUACGGGGGGGGUAAGCGUUGUUCGGAAUUACCGGGCGUAAAGGGUUUGUAGGUGGCUUGCUAAGUCAGACGUGAAAUCCCUCAGCUUAACUGGGGAACUGCGUCUGAUACUGGCGAGCUUGAGUGCAGGAGAGGAACGCGGAAUUCCAGGUGUAGCGGUGAAAUGCGUAGAUAUCUGGAGGAACACCGGUUGGCGAAGGCGGCGUUCUGGACUGCAACUGACACUGAAAAACGAAAGCCAGGGGAGCAAACGGGAUUAGAUACCCCGGUAGUCCUGGCCCUAAACGAUGAAUGCUUGGUGUGGCGGGUAUCGAUCCCUGCCGUGCCGAA